UACAGAGGGGGCCAGCGUUAUUCGGAAUUAUUGGGCGUAAAGGGCGCGUAGGGGCCCUGCGUGGUCUCCGUGAAAUCCCUCGGCUCAACCGAGGACGUGCGGAAGAAACUGCAAGGCUCGAGUCCGGAAGAGGGGGGCGGAAUUCCCAGUGUAGCGGUGAAAUGCGUAGAUAUCUGGAGGAACACCGGUGGCGAAGGCGGCAUCCUGGACCGGCAUUGACGCUGAGGCGCGAAAGCCAGGGGAGCAAACGGG
rnacentral:rRNA from 1 species